rnacentral:lncRNA from 1 species
AAAGGAAUUUUUCACAAAUUUUGGAGAUUUUUGGGGUUUUUCUCCUCCCAUUCAUUCCAAACUUUUGCUGGCUCCAAUUUGGACUGGUCUGAACUGGUCUGGACUGGUCUGAACUGGUUUGAACUGGUUUUAACUGGUUUGGACUGGUCUGAACUGGGAAUGACUCCAAGAAACAAGAAGAAAAUAAAGGAAUUUUUCACAAAUUUUUGAGUUUUUCCCCUUCCAUUUAUUCCAAAUUUCUGCUGGUUCCAGUUUGGACUGGUCUGAACUGGUUUUUACUGUUUUUUGCUGUUUUUUGCCGUUUUUUGGCGCUCUCAGGAGUGCAGGAAUCGGUUGAAGGCGUUGUAGGCGGACUCGAGGUCGAAGAGCAUCUGGCGCACCU